GACAGAGGGUGCAAACGUUGUUCGGAAUUACUGGGCGUAAAGCGUGUGUAGGCGGCUUUGCAAGUCGGGUGUGAAAGCCCCAGGCUCAACCUGGGAAGUGCACUCGAUACUGCAAAGCUAGAGUGUCGGAGAGGUUGGUGGAAUUCUCGGUGUAGAGGUGAAAUUCGUAGAUAUCGAGAGGAACACCGGUGGCGAAGGCGAGUCCCUGGACAACUCCUGACACUGAGGCACGAAAGCUAGGGGAGCAAACAGG
rnacentral:rRNA from 1 species